UCUUCAAAAACAGUAGGCCCUGUUUUUUUUCCUUUCGGUUGACCUGGUAUGUCAAAUUAUUUCCAGAAUUUUAGUUGAGGCUAGUCCAUCAUUGAAGCAAGACAUAAGUGAAAAGUGGAUAAAAAAGUAUAAAAUUGUGUAAAUUUAUUUAAAAAGCAAAAAAGUCCAUUUUGAAACGAAGGCCAGCCGGAUUUUCUGGAUGAAGAUCUUUCCUUAUCGCCAUAUGAUCUUCGCCAUGCACAUCUCAGGAAAAUGCUGUAAAUGAAUAUUGGUAAGAUGUUUUGGAACUAAGUACCAUACACAAACUUGUAGUCGAGAACAUAGUUUACUGAUAAAUUAAGCAAGGAUAAAUUAUACUCUACACGCCAAGAUCUUCUGCUAAGUAUAUAGUAUUUUUCUAUUUUCAAAUAGGCGACGCCUCAUUCUGCUAAAACAUCUAUGUCAAGUCCGACUAUAAUUGUUAAAUUUUUUACGUAAAAUAAUAUUCUGUGGUCUUCG